rnacentral:rRNA from 1 species
CCUACGGGUGGCUGCAGUGAGGAAUAUUGGUCAAUGGGCGCGAGCCUGAACCAGCCAAGCAGCGUGAAGGAUGACUGCUCUACGGGUUGUAAACUCCUUUUAUAAAGGAAUAAAGUGAGGCACGUGUGCCUUUAUGUACGUACUUUAUGAAUAAGGAUCGGCUAACUCCGUGCCAGCAGCCGCGGUAAUACGGAGGAUCCGAGCGUUAUACGGAUUUAUUGGGUUUAAAGGGAGCGUAGAUGGGUUGUUAAGUCAGUUGUGAAAGUUCGUGGCUCAACCGUAAAAUUGCAUUUGAUACUGGCAGUCUUGAGUGCAGUUGAGGUAGGCGGAAUUCGUGGUGUAGCGGUGAAAUGCUUAGAUAUCAGGAAGAACACCGAUUGCGAAGGCAGCUUACUAAGCUGCCACUGACGUUGAGGCACGAAAGCGUGGGGAGCAAACAGGAUUAGAUACCCGAGUAGUC